rnacentral:rRNA from 1 species
AUUGAACGCUGGCGGCAGGCCUAACACAUGCAAGUCGAACGAGUGGCGGACGGGUGAGUAAUGUCUGGGAAACUGCCUGAUGGAGGGGGAUAACCACUGGAAACGGUAGCUAAUACCGCAUACCAUCGGAUGUGCCCAGAUGGGUUUCGCUAGUAGGUGGGGUAAAGGCUCUCCUAGGCGACGUUCCCUAGCUGGGCUGAGAGGAUGACGAGCCACACGGGAACUGAGACACGGUACAGACUCCAACGGGAGGCAGCAGUGGGGAAUAGUGCACAAUGGGCGAAAGCCUGAUGCAGCCAUGCCGCGUGUAUGAAGAAGGCCUUCGGGUUGUAAAGUACUUUCAGCGGGGAGGAGUUACCCGCAGAAGAAGCACCGGCUAACUCCGUGCCAGCAGCCGCGGUAAUUC